rnacentral:rRNA from 1 species
AGUAGCCGCGGUAAUACGAAGGGUGCAAGCGUUAAUCGGAAUUACUGGGCGUAAAGCGUGCGCAGGUGGUUUGUUAAGACAGAUGUGAAAUCCCCGGGCUCAACCUGGGAACUGCAUUUGUGACUGGCAAGCUAGAGUGUGGCAGAGGGGGGUGGAAUUCCGCGUGUAGCAGUGAAAUGCGUAGAUAUGCGGAGGAACACCGAUGGCGAAGGCAGCCCCCUGGGCCAACACUGACGCUCAUGCACGAAAGCGUGGGGAGCAAACAGGAUUAGAUACCCGAGUAGUCCCUGUCUCUUAUACA